UAGGGAAUCUUCCGCAAUGGACGCAAGUCUGACGGAGCAACGCCGCGUGAGUGAAGAAGGAUUUCGGUUCGUAAAACUCUGUUGUUAGAGAAGAACAGCGCAUAGAGUAACUGUUAUGCGUGUGACGGUAUCUAACCAGAAAGCCACGGCUAACUACGUGCCAGCAGCCGCGGUAAUACGUAGGUGGCAAGCGUUGUCCGGAUUUAUUGGGCGUAAAGCGAGCGCAGGCGGUCAAUUAAGUCUGAUGUGAAAGCCCCCGGCUCAACCGGGGAGGGUCAUUGGAGACUGGUUGACUUGAGUGCAGAAGAGGAGAGUGGAAUUCCAUGUGUAGCGGUGAAAUGCGUAGAUAUAUGGAAGAACACCAGUGGCGAAGGCGACUCUCUGGUCUGUAACUGACGAUGAGGCUCGAAAGCGUGGGUAGCAAACAGG
rnacentral:rRNA from 1 species